rnacentral:rRNA from 1 species
ACGGCAGCACGGGUGCUUGCACCUGGUGGCGAGUGGCGAACGGGUGAGUAAUACAUCGGAACAUGUCCUGUAGUGGGGGAUAGCCCGGCGAAAGCCGGAUUAAUACCGCAUACGAUCUACGGAUGAAAGCGGGGGACCUUCGGGCCUCGCGCUAUAGGGUUGGCCGAUGGCUGAUUAGCUAGUUGGUGGGGUAAAGGCCUACCAAGGCGACGAUCAGUAGCCGGUCUGAGAGGACGACCAGCCACACUGGGACUGAGACACGGCCCAGACUCCUACGGGAGGCAGCAGUGGGGAAUUUUGGACAAUGGGCGAAAGCCUGAUCCAGCAAUGCCGCGUGUGUGAAGAAGGCCUUCGGGUUGUAAAGCACUUUUGUCCGGAAAGAAAUCCUUGGUUCUAAUAUAGCCGGGGGAUGACGGUACCGGAAGAAUAAGCACCGGCUAACUACGUGCCAGCAGCCGCGGUAAUACGUAGGGUGCGAGCGUUAAUCGGAAUUACUGGGCGUAAAGCGUGCGCAGGCGGUUUGCUAAGACCGAUGUGAAAUCCCCGGGCUCAACCUGGGAACUGCAUUGGUGACUGGCAGGCUAGAGUAUGGCAGAGGGGGGUAGAAUUCCACGUGUAGCAGUGAAAUGCGUAGAGAUGUGGAGGAAUACCGAUGGCGA